CCUACGGGCGGCAGCAGUGGGGAAUAUUGGGCAAUGGGCGCAAGCCUGACCCAGCAACGCCGCGUGAAGGAAGAAGGCUUUCGGGUUGUAAACUUCUUUUGUUAGAGAAGAUAAUGACGGUAUCUAACGAAUAAGCACCGGCUAACUCCGUGCCAGCAGCCGCGGUAAUACGGAGGGUGCAAGCGUUACUCGGAAUCACUGGGCGUAAAGAGCGCGUAGGCGGGAUAGCAAGUCAGAUGUGAAAUCCUAGGGCUUAACCAUAGAACUGCAUUUGAAACUGUUAUUCUAGAGUAUGGGAGAGGUAGGUGGAAUUCUUGGUGUAGGGGUAAAAUCCGUAGAGAUCAAGAGGAAUACUCAUGGCGAAGGCGACCUGCUAGAACAUAACUGACGCUGAUGCGCGAAAGCGUGGGGAGCAAACAGGAUUAGAUACCCGUGUAGUC
rnacentral:rRNA from 1 species